CACAGGAAGAGAGGGGAACCUUUUCAGUGGGUCCGCCAAUGGGCUCCCAACAUAAUCAGGGAUAAAUUGGGGAGACAUUGGGGUUGAUGAUUCCAAGCUUAUAUCAGAGAGUGAUGAACGAUAAACCACUGAAAGGCAAAGCCGACCACAGGAAGUAUCCACCGGAGUGAACCCAAAUAGCAGCAUUUCAGCCUCUUCCCUGCGAGUGAAGGGCUCAAAAAAAGAAGAAACCCUAUGAGUAAGGGUGAAUGUGCGAAUCUGUCCAGACGAAUUGAGGUCACGGAAAAUCUUAUAUGCAGGUAGAAGCCUAACAGUUGCAUACAA
rnacentral:misc_RNA from 1 species